rnacentral:rRNA from 1 species
CUGGAGUACUCGAGUGGCGAACGGGUGAGUAACACGUGGGUAAUCUGCCCUGCACUCUGGGAUAAGCCUGGGAAACUGGGUCUAAUACUGGAUAUGACCUUUCUCCUUAUGGGGUUUGGUGGAAAGGUUUUCGGUGUAGGAUGAGCCCGCGGCCUAUCAGCUUGUUGGUGGGGUAGUGGCUUACCAAGGCUUUGACGGGUAGCCGGCCUGAGAGGGUGACCGGCCACAUUGGGACUGAGAUACGGCCCAG